UACGUAGGGUGCAAGCGUUAAUCGGAAUUACUGGGCGUAAAGCGUGCGCAGGCGGUUUUGUAAGUCUGUCGUGAAAUCCCUGGGCUCAACCCAGGAAGUGCACUCGAAACUGGCAGGCUUGAGUACUGAAGAGGGUCGCGGAAUUCCCGGUGUAGAGGUGAAAUUCGUAGAUAUCGGGAGGAACACCAGUGGCGAAGGCGGCGACCUGGGCAGAUACUGACACUGAGGUGCGAAAGCGUGGGGAGCAAACAGGG
rnacentral:rRNA from 1 species